UCACUGCUUGUGGAACUGAAAAGCCUGAUUCAAACGCACCCUGCGCAGAUUCCGAGGCAGCUUUGGAGCCGGUCCACACGUUCCCCUCCCCUUCUUUAAAUUGACAUUUGUUUCUCAGCUGACAGGAUUUGUCCCGGGCCCCCUGGAGGGGCGAAGUGACGCCCCCAUCUGAUCAGCAUCUAAAAACACCUUGGCUAAUUUAAAAAAUGGAGAUCUUGAAUGUGCUCCGUCCAUUACGCUCGACCGUGUGAGCGCGCUGCGCAAGCCCGGGGCAGACGGCCUGCUCCGCCGUUUGUUUUUACAACAAGCUUUGCAGCCUCGCGGGCUGAGAGGAUUCUGGUUAAAGGGUGUACACUGUGAAUCACAGUUUCAAAGGAAGACGGCAAAUACAAACCGCAGCCAAGCCAUUUGUAAACCUGGAUUGCUGACAGAAAUCCAGGAAGCAGCAGAAAAACAACCAAACACAAAAACACAGUGAAGAGCCUGGAUUCUAAGCUGCGUGUUAUGGGCUGAAUUGUGUUCGCCCAAAAUUUGUAUGUCGAAGCUCUAACCUCCAGGACGUCAACGUGACUGUGUUUGGAGACAGAGUCUUUACAGACGUAACUAAGUUAAAUGAGGUCUCUGGGGGGCGGAGGAGCCCUGGUCCAGUGUGAGGGGUGUCUCUUUAAGAAGAGGAAAUGAGGACACAGACACACAGAGAAGACCAUAGGGAGUGACAGGGAGGAGACGGCCGGCGGUGCAAUGUCGGACUCUGGCCGCCGGAGCAGCGAGGACAUCAGUGUCUGCUGUUGAAGCCCCGGCCGCGCUGCCCGCUCCGCCCGGCGGGGCCCGGCGCCCCUCGCCACCUGCCGCCCCAGCUCCGCCGCGGGGGCCUCGCCGCGCCGCCUCCCUCCGGGCUGCCCCUUCUUCACCGAGGGCGACGCCCCCCGGGACUUGGGGUCACACUGCGCCUGCUCUAGCGUCACAGGAGCACUGUUGGCUGGAAGCCUCUGUCCCCGUGUCCCUCCUCGCCCUGGACGUGGCUCCCUGCGGCGGCCCGCAUCUUCGCCUUCUCCGCGCGCGGGCGCCGGGCGCACCGAGGGCGCUCACGGGGCUCGUGGGUGCAGCGCGGAACGGGAACGGGACGGUGUAGCGAGCAUCACCCAAGUACAACUCUGGGAAAGUACGAGCUUGAACUGCUACAGCGAUCGUGUGGGAAGGGGGUGACCUCCCUCAGAUGUUUGACCGCCGCCGGGUCCACGCCAUCUUCACUCAGCACACGCUUGCUGAAUGCCUGUCUGCGCUGGGCACUGGGGAGAGUGAACAAGACUCUCCUGUGAGGCCCUCAUUCUUGUGAGAGGAGACAACGAACGGGAAAGUACCAGAUAGUACCAUGAGUGUGCAAUGAAAUACUUGACGUAGGUUAUGGGAUAGACAGUAGUCGGGGCUCCUUUAGACUGAGUGCUCUGGGAUGCCCCAUCUGAGGAGCUGGCAUUGGAGCUGCACCCUGAUGACAAGAUGCAGACACAUGGAAAUCGUAAGGAAGAGCAUUCCAGAAGGAGGGAAUAGAAAGUGCAGAGGCCCAUGCAAGAACACGGGAACAGAAGGGAGGCCAGUGUGGCUCAGGUGUAGCAGGCGCCAGGGAGUUAAGUGUGGGCAGGCGGAGGGCAGGUGACGUCCCGUCAUGGUGAGCGGAUCAUGACAUAAGAUCAAAUGAGGUUUUUAUUCCAGAUGUGGUGGAAAGUCACUUAAGGGUUUUAAAAAGAGGAGCGGCACGAUCUGACUCGUAUUUUUAAAAAGAUCAUCUGGCUCCUGCAUGGAGAAUGGAUGGGGGUGGGAUGGUGAGGGCAAGGGAGAAAACAAGGAGCCCAACUAUGAGGCUGCAGGAAUCCAGGCCCCAGAAGGUAGCGCUUGCAGAGGAUCUGGUGAGAACUGGGCAGAUUCAGGGAGAGCUUUGCGAGUGGAGUCCAUAAACCAUGAGGGUGUGGGAAAGGAGGACGCAGGGUGAUUUUCAGGUUUGUGGCUUGAGCAGCUGGCUGGAUGCUGGGGCCAUUUACUGAGAACCAGCCUAGGAGAGCAAUGUUUCGGGGGUGAUGGUGGGGUGGGGUAUCUAGAGUUCUUUUUAAAUUUCAGAUGCCUUUUCUGCAUCCAAGAGGCAAUGUCUUGUGAACAGAUAGAAACAGGAGUCUGGGAAUCAGAGAAAAGGUGGGACCUGGGUAACUAUGCCCAUCCUUCUGUCUACACAUCCAUCUGUCUCUCUUUCAGUGUCAAGGUCAUGGAUGCUAUUUAAGCCCAUGGGACUGAAUGGGAUUGCCUGGGUAGCCAGAAGAGAUGAAGAAGAUGCCGAGGCUGACCUUUGUGGUACUCCAAAUUUUAGUGAUCUUCACAUUAGAGAUGUCCAGCCAAGGUGACAGAAAAGGAGCAGCCAGAAAGGCAGGAGAAAGAUCAAAGUAACCGAUGUCACGGAAGCCAAGAGAAGAGAUGCUUCAGGAGGAAGGAAGAGUUGAAGUGUUACCGAAGAGCCAAGUCGUGAAGCUCCAGGGAAAGAGAACUUUAUUGGAUUGUAUCCAUGAUUGAAAAAGCCUUCCUUCCAUUUUUAACAUCAAUCUGGGGAAUGAUCAAUUGCUAAACUUUGAAAAUACGCUAUUCAUUGAGCACGUACGCCAUCCACAGUCACUGAGGAGGAGAGAAAGGGAGCCUGGAAGAUCCUGGAGGAUAAAAGUGCUUUUCCAAGAGGCAUUUGGACCAUUAAACUAUGAUGGGAUGGAUUUAGGCUCUGAGAAAAGGUAGGAGGAUUGCACCUUUAGUCCCCAUCCCAUAAUUUAAAUUCCCGGUGCGCCCCACAGCCCAGGGUGUAGCUCUGGAGCAGCAACUCUAAUUACAGCCCUGCAGGGAAUGCCGUCAUUCUGCAUCCCAUCUCCCUCUCUACCCCUGCAGUCCACCACUCCCCACCCACCGAACCUCUGCGGCCCAGCCCAGCCCAGCCCGAAGCCGUGUCUCCAUGGCUCUGCCAAGGCCGAAAGCCAGGUUACACGACCAUUCUGUUCCAGGAGCAUUGUCUUAAACCACAAUGGGAUUCCUUCACAUCUACAGGUUUUCUGCUUGUCUAGACUAUAAGAAUCUAUGUUAAUUAGGUGGAUCUAUUUGUACCGACAUGAAAAGAUGUCCAAGAUACAUUAAGUGAAAAAAAUUUGCAAAACUGUGUCCAUAAUAUAACAUUUUGUUAAAAUAUUUAUAUUUACAUACAUAUUAAUUCAUGGAACCUGAUGUUAAAAUUGAAGUUUCAGUGAAAUUGACAAGGUAUGUUAGAUACCAGACAGCACAUGAAGGGUGACACAGGUUACCCUGGAGGAAUCUUUAAAGGAAAUCUUGAAAACUGGCUCUGGGACCCUUGAAUCCUCUGACCCAGAGGAUUUCUUGAAUAUAACAAAGUGGAGAUAGAGGGUUUUGUGAGGAAAUUUCUUUGAAGAGUUCUGCUACCCCGGGCCAGGAGCUGGGAAGUGCGAGGUCCUGUAUCUGAAGCCCCGAGAGGAUGGGCUCCUACCGACAAUUAGAGAGCUUGGUUUGUGUUUCUUGGAGUUGAGAGACACCAGGGAUUAGUGCCUGAUUCAUGCCUCAGGAAGCAAAAGGGGCUUGUGACAGGGCAGAGAGAGUGGAGGGCUGUGUUUGAGAAGUAACUGUGCUCCCGUCUAUCCAUGGGCAUGACUGUUCUCACAGAUCCUGGGCCACAAGGGAGAGAGAGCCAGCCUGCAGGACCUAAGGUCCAUUUGAAGUCCAAAAGGAGUGCUGGGGAGGGCCAGUGAACUCCAUCAGUGAGAAUCGGAGUGAGGAGUGGGUCCUCAGAGAGCGAGGGCUGAAAUGGGCUUUAGUCAGUAAAGGAGAGGCAUCACCCAGGCCUGAGGGCCUAGCAGGGGACCUCCAAGAUGCCUCAGAAACAGCCUGGAGAGGGGUAUGACCCUCAGCAUUUGUGGCCCAGAGAGCAGCAGUCAGCAGCCAAGGAAGGAGGUCUGUCUGUCCUCUCACCUCACUUCCCCAACCCCUUGACUCUGCCAAGUGAGCAAGUGGGGAAGAGGGGAAAAGAGAAAGAAAACCAGACCCCACUACCUUCAGGAGAGGAAAAGUCUCUCCUUUAACGAAGUCUGAAUUGAUGAAUAAAACCUUGGACUGGAUACCUACUUUCUGAUUCAAUGCUGUAUUUUGCAAUUGCAUAACAGUCUACUAUCUAAAAACUGAGGAAGAAAAUUGAGGAGACUGCCAAGUUUUCAGCCAGUGGUAGGGGAAAAUCUCCCUACUGAAUAAACUUUAAAGGGGUAGAGGGAAACAAAAAUACAGUGGGGGUUUCUAUGACACUCCUUUAUUGUGCUUUGGAGAGACUAGUUUCUCAUAAACAAGGUAGGAUGUCAGAAGGAGGAUGCAUCACUUUGGUUAUCUCUGAGGGGCGGGGACGUGGGAGUUGUUCAUUUUUUCUCUUAUCUACUUCCAUUAUGUUUGAAUUAUGUAAACAGAGCAUGGUUACUUUUGUAAUCAGAAAAGCUAUGAUGAUAAAUGUGCCCAUCCAAAAUAUAAAGGGAAAAAUCAACACCACAUGUAAAAUAUUAUUGGCUAGAAAGAGAGCAAGCUGAAAAAUGAAAUAAUCAUCGUUGCUAACAUUUGUAGAAUGCGUUACAUUUUACAAAACAUUUUCACUUUAAUGAUCUCAUUUGAUUGUUACAGCAACUCUGGAGUUAGGUUUUGAAUUAUUCACAGUGUGCAGAUGUAGAAACAGAGUGUCAUAAUUGUUGGUUACUUUGCUUAGCUGACAACACUUGCUGGUAAAGAGAAGGCUCGAGUUUGUCUUCUGGCCAUGAGUCCCAUAUUCUUCCUAUUUCACAAUACCCACUGCUGGACAGCAAGGACGUUUUGUUGUCAGGAGGUAUUCGCUCGCCCACUCCCAAUGGACCGCACUUGGAGCCCUACUGGGCCUGACAUGAUAAAGCCACAUUAACGCAGCCUGCAUUGACAGUACUGUUCCGAACAAUAUUCCACUUCCCUCUCUAAACAUGCAAUCUCUAUAUGCUUAACACCUCACCUUUCUCCUCACCUUCCAACUGAUAUUCUUGCUGAGUUCCAUACCUGUUGAUGACCCAAUUGUUUUUCCAGUAUCACAGUCCUAACUUCAUUUUUCUUUGAUUUCUCCUUCUCAUUUUAUUCCAUACUUGGUCAUUUUUAAGUCUUUUUUUUUCCGAGGAAGA